rnacentral:rRNA from 1 species
GAUGAACGCUGGCGGCGUGUUUAAGGCAUGCAAGUCGAACGUGUACCUUCGGGUACAAGUGGCAAACGGGAGAGUAACACAUUGGUAACCUACCUCGAAGUUCGGGACAACCCAUCGAAAGAUGGGCUAAUACCGGAUGUGCAUAAUACAUACUUUGUAUUAUGUAAAGAUUUAUCGCUUCGAGAGGGGCCUAUGGUCUAUCAGCUUGUUGGUGAGGUAAAAGCUCACCAAGGCAACGACGGAUAGCGGGUGUGAGAGCAUGACCCGUCCCACUGGGACUGAGACACUGCCCAGACUCCUACGGGAGGCUGCAGUCAAGAAUCUUCCCCAGUGGCCGAAAGGCUGAGGGAGCGACGCCGCGUGUAGGAAGAAGUCUUUCGGGAUGUAAACUACUUUUCUGUGGGAAAAAUCCA